rnacentral:ncRNA from 1 species
CUAGCUGGAAAAGGAGGGAAACGGAUACUCCAUUUAAAGUGAGGGCGGCCGUAACUAUAACGGUCUUAAGGUAGCGAAAUUCCUUGUCGGGUAAGUUCCGACUCGCACGAAAGG